CCUACGGGGGGCUGCAGUGGGGAAUAUUGGACAAUGGGCGAAAGCCUGAUCCAGCCAUGCCGCGUGUGUGAAGAAGGCCUUCGGGUUGUAAAGCACUUUCAGUGGGGAAGAAAGCCUUGGGGCUAAUACCCUCGAGGAAGGACAUCACCCACAGAAGAAGCACCGGCUAACUCCGUGCCAGCAGCCGCGGUAAUACGGAGGGUGCGAGCGUUAAUCGGAAUUACUGGGCGUAAAGCGCGCGUAGGCGGUCUGAUAAGCCGGUUGUGAAAGCCCCGGGCUCAACCUGGGAACGGCAUCCGGAACUGUCAGGCUAGAGUGAAGGAGAGGAAGGUAGAAUUCCAGGUGUAGCGGUGAAAUGCGUAGAGAUCGGGAGGAAUACCAGUGGCGAAGGCGGCCUUCUGGACUGACACUGACGCUGAGGUGCGAAAGCGUGGGUAGCAAACAGGAUUAGAUACCCUGGUAGUC
rnacentral:rRNA from 1 species